CUUCUUUGUUACUAAGCCUAUAUUGAAUUUUUGAAAUUAAGAAAUCCGUGAUUUUACUUGCAGGCAUGACUGAUUAAUGGAAUUAUUUUACUUUUAUAUAGAAUAUGGAUGGCACUCCAUUACAGCAUGUGCAUGGUUGGACCUGUUGACAUUUUUAGAAACGCAUCUUGGUCUAUUAUACAGAGUAUUGUUGUACUGCUCCAAAGUGCUUGUUGACAGACUGAAACCACUUGAUUGCGGCUCAUAAGGUUCACUUCUUGAGAGCAGGCAGCUACAAAAUGGAAGGUCAACAAAUCCAGUAUACUUGAAAAGCAAGAAAGAAACACCAGAAAAUAUAAAAAGACAGAAGAACAAGGGAACUUUAAUAAAAAAAAAACUUUUAAGGAUAGGAAUUCAGGAUUUAUUUAGAAAACUAAAUAUAUUUUGAGAACAGCAGUGUUUGACUAAGCUCUGUUACUUUAAGAGAUAAUGUGAUUAUCACAUUGGUUUUGUUAUUGUCGAGCCUGCUUGCGGAAGCGAAGACAUAGUUGUCCAAAUGUCUAUUCGGUGUAUGUGCGUGCGUGUGUCUGUCCGGAUUUGUUUGUCCGGACCAUAAUUUGGACAUGCAUGGAGCAAUCUUGUUUAUAUAUGGUAUGAAUGUUAACCUCAGUGAGACGGAGUGUCAUGCGCAAGCCCCAGGUUCCUAUUUCAAAGGUCAAGAUCACACUUACAGGUCAAAGGUCAAAUUCAAAAAUGACUUUGUCCGGAGCAUUUCUUCUUCAUGCAUGGAGGGAUUUUGAAGUAACUUGGCACAAUUGUUCACCAUCAUGAGAUGGAGUGUCUUGCGCAAGAACCAGGUCCCUAGGUCUAAGGUCAAGGUCACACUUAGAGGUCAAA